rnacentral:rRNA from 1 species
GACGAACGCUGGCGGCGUGCUUAACACAUGCAAGUCGAACGCUGAAGCCUGGCUUUUGUUGGGUGGAUGAGUGGCGAACGGGUGAGUAACACGUGAGUAACCUGCCCCCUUCUUUGGGAUAACGCCCGGAAACGGGUGCUAAUACUGGAUAUUCACUGGCCUUCGCAUGGGGGUUGGUGGAAAGGGUUUUCUGGUGGGGGAUGGGCUCGCGGCCUAUCAGCUUGUUGGUGGGGUGAUGGCCUACCAAGGCUUUGACGGGUAGCCGGCCUGAGAGGGUGACCGGUCACAUUGGGACUGAGAUACGGCCCAGACUCCUACGGGAGGCAGCAGUGGGGAAUAUUGCACAAUGGGCGCAAGCCUGAUGCAGCGACGCCGCGUGAGGGAUGGAGGCCUUCGGGUUGUGAACCUCUUUCGCUCAUGGUCAAGCCGCA